AAGUCGUAACAAGGUCUCCGUUGGUGAACCAGCGGAGGGAUCAUUACAGAGUACUUUCUUACUCAUAAACCACUGUGAACUUACCUAUCGUUGCUUCGGCUGGGCUGUCCCCCAGGCCUCUUCAGAGGUCCGGGGCGGCGUCAAGGCCCGCCGAGGGACCCUAAACUCUUGUAUCUCUGUGGAAAUUCUGAGAAACGAUUUAAAUAAAUCAAAACCUUUGACAACGGAUCUCUUGGUUCUGGCAUCGAUGAAGAACGCAGCGAAAUGCGAUACGUAAUGUGAAUUGCAGAAUUCAGUGAAUCAUCGAAUCUUUGAACGCACAUUGCGCCUAUUAGUAUUCUAGUAGGCAUGCCUGUUCGAGCGUCAUUACACCACUCAAGCUUCAUUGCUUGGAGUUGGGACGUUACCUCCCCCCGGGGGGGUAAGUCCUCAAAUCUAGUGGCGAGGCCGGAUGUCCUCUAAGCGUAGUAAACUCAUUUUCUCGCUUUGGCUAGGCGUCUGGUUGCAGCCAGAAACCACUAUAUUUUUUAAUGGUUGACCUCGGAUCAGGUAGGAAUACCCGCUGAACUUAA
rnacentral:rRNA from 1 species